rnacentral:lncRNA from 1 species
UGAAUCCGAACGGGAUGGAUUUAACUGAUACUGCAAUGUAUGGUUUCGAUUACGGGUAUAAAAAAUAAAAAAUUGAUGAAUUCAAGUUCAAAUAAGAAUUUAUCUAUAUCCGAACUAGAACCAGAACCGAACUCAUUUUAUAUUUAUACAAUAUAUCAAAUAAAGAUUGUCUCAAUCCUUGGAUGGGAGGGAUAUACAAUUUAUACCAUUUUUUUGAAUGUAUACUUAGUAUUUCUCUUUUAAUAUUUUUUUUAAAAAAAUAAUAAAUAUUAGCCCCAGAAUAAAUAGGGUGUGAAAUGUUUUUUUUGAGAAAAAGGUAGCGUGCUAUCCGCUUCAUUUAUUGAAAAGAUGAAUUAGACUACAGGAAUGAGGCAACCAGGGCCUGUAAGAAGGUGGGAAAAAAUAAAAAAAUAAAAAUUUAAAAAAGAAAGAAAGAAAGAAAGAAAGAAAACUACAUCUCAUAAAAGUGUCGAUUAGCCGAAAGUAAAUGUUUCCAAAAAUUCGAUGACUGUUUAACCUUACGAACUGCUAUCAGGGAGUCCAGCUGGAUUAUUCUAAAGAUCGUAUCAUU